rnacentral:rRNA from 1 species
UACGUAGGGCGCAAGCGUUGUCCGGAAUUAUUGGGCGUAAAGAGCUCGUAGGCGGUCUGUCGCGUCGGAUGUGAAAGCCCGGGGCUCAACCCCGGGUCUGCAUUCGAUACGGGCAGACUGGAGUGUGGUAGGGGAGAUCGGAAUUCCUGGUGUAGCGGUGAAAUGCGCAGAUAUCAGGAGGAACACCGGUGGCGAAGGCGGAUCUCUGGGCCAUUACUGACGCUGAGGAGCGAAAGCGUGGGGAGCGAACAGG